rnacentral:rRNA from 1 species
AUUGAACGCUGGCGGCAUGCCUUACACAUGCAAGUCGAACGGCAGCACGGGUGCUUGCACCUGGUGGCGAGUGGCGAACGGGUGAGUAAUACAUCGGAACAUGUCCUGUAGUGGGGGAUAGCCCGUCGAAAGCCGGAUUAAUACCGCAUACGAUCUACGGAUGAAAGCGGGGGACCUUCGGGCCUCGCGCUAUAGGGUUGGCCGAUGGCUGAUUAGCUAGUUGGUGGGGUAAAGGCCUACUAAGGCGACGAUCAGUAGCUGGUCUGAGAGGACGACCAGCCACACUGGGACUGAGACACGGCCCAGACUCCUACGGGAGGCAGCAGUGGGGAAUUUUGGACAAUGGGCGAAAGCCUGAUCCAGCAAUGCCGCGUGUGUGAAGAAGGCCUUCGGGUUGUAAAGCACUUUUGUCCGGAAAGAAAUCCUUGGCCCUAAUACGGUCGGGGGAUGACGGUACCGGAAGAAUAAGCACCGGCUAACUACGU